rnacentral:misc_RNA from 1 species
CUCCAACACAGAUUGCAUUGUGGGCCUGUGUUUAGGAGAUUCGUGAGUGCAAAGAAGUGCUAAUCUCCCAAGUUUGGCAGCUUCUGAUUCUGAGAACUUUCUCCCAAGAUUUGCAUCAAUAAAGUCUUCCACCUUGCAUGAUUCCACUGCAUGGCGAGCCAUUGCAGUGACUAUUCGCUUUCCACUGAGGAUUUGAAGUACAAUCAUACCAAAUGCAUAAACAUCACUCUUUUCAGUAAAACGACCAGUAGUUGUGUACUCAGGAGCUAGGUAUCCCAUGGCAGCACUAGCUUUGAGAAUGGAGAAGACAACGUCAUCUGCAAGGAGUUUGUGCAAGCCUGAAUCCGAGAGCAAUGGAUUGUAUCGUUUGUCAAUGAGCACUUUCUCAGCUGAUAUGUUCUGAUGGAACAGAGAAUGUUUGUUUCCUUUAUUACCGUGUAAAUACCCAAGACCUUUGGCAAUGCCAUUUAUGAUAGAUAUUCUGGUUGACCAUUCAAGAAUCCUCCCAUUGCCCUCCUUUAUGUCAAGAUACUGCAACAGGUUUCCAUUUGGGACAAAAUCAUAAAUGAGAAAACACUCCCCCCUUCCUUUUGAGCAACAAAAGCCUCUCAACCUCACCAGAUUUUCAUGUUUCAAUGAGGUCAAAAUCUUCACACCCUUCAAAAAAUCAGCUUCAUCAGAUUUGCAACUUGUUUUAGUGAUGCACUUUACAGCAACAAUUGAUCCAUCUCUUAAAUUUCCCUUGUAGGUGGCCGAGAAAUUACUCUUCCCCAACAAAUUCACCUCCGAGAAGCACUGAGUCGCUCGUUCCACCUCUUCUAAAUUGAAAAUGAAGCUCUCAAGAAAUUCCUGAGAGAG